AGUGAACGCUGGCGGUAGGCCUAACACAUGCAAGUCGAUCGGCAGCACAGUAAGAGCUUGCUCUUACGGGUGGCGAGUGGCGGACGGGUGAGGAAUACAUCGGAAUCUACUUUUUCGUGGGGGAUAACGUAGGGAAACCUACGCUAAUACCGCAUACGACCUACGGGUGAAAGCAGGGGAUCUUCGGACCUUGCGCGAUUGAAUGAGCCGAUGUCGGAUUAGCUAGUUGGCGGGGUAAAGGCCCACCAAGGCGACGAUCCGUAGCUGGUCUGAGAGGAUGAUCAGCCACACUGGAACUGAGACACGGUCCAGACUCCUACGGGAGGCAGCAGUGGGGAAUAUUGGACAAUGGGCGCAAGCCUGAUCCAGCCAUACCGCGUGGGUGAAGAAGGCCUUCGGGUUGUAAAGCCCUUUUGUUGGGAAAGAAAAGCAGCAGGUUAAUACCCCGCUGUUCUGACGGUACCCAAAGAAUAAGCACCGGCUAACUUCGUG
rnacentral:rRNA from 1 species